UACAGAGGGUGCGAGCGUUAAUCGGAAUUACUGGGCGUAAAGCGUGCGUAGACGGUUAUUUAAGUCGGAUGUGAAAGCCCCGGGCUCAACCUGGGAAUUGCAUUCGAGACUGAAUAGCUAGGGUGCGGUAGAGGGAAGCGGAAUUUCCGGUGUAGCGGUGAAAUGCGUAGAUAUAGGAAGGAACACCAGUGGCGAAGGCGACCACCUGGACUGAUACUGACACUGAGGUGCGAAAGCGUGGGGAGCAAACAGG
rnacentral:rRNA from 1 species